UUCUUCUUUGUGUUGUUGUUCGCAGCACCGUUUGCAGUGAAGAUUGACGAUGCAUCGGUGUUGUGAAGAUGAGCGAUUGAGAAUUGGCGUCGAGGAGACGAGGGAAGUGAGAUUUGGCUUUGAAGAUUUAGAUGCGAAAUAAGCUCAAUGAAAGAAUAGCUUCUUCAGUUGAAGACGAUGAUGACGUCGAAGCGUGACUGAAGAUUGAAGAUUAUUGAUACUUGUUGAUGUUGUGCUUGAAUGGAAGGAGGCCUCGAAGAUGAAGAAGGUAUGAGAUGCUGAAAGGUUGCAGUGUUUCUUUUGGUUGAAGGUCUGAAGAAGAUGGAAGAAGGUUGAUGAUUGAGAGAGGGAAGGAUUCUGAGAUUUGAAGAUUGAUGAAGAUGAAAUGGUGAAGAAGGUUAGAGAAAGAGAUCAAGAAUGAAGAUAGAGUGAGGAUGAUGAAGAGUGAAGAGUUAUGAGGUGGCAGCAAUGGAAAACAGAGUGAAAACCUGAAGAAUGAUGGAGGUCUUGGUUAUAUAGAGAUGAUGGAUCUUGAUUCUCUGAAGGGCAGCUGAACUGUUAUGGCUUAACUUGAAUGCAAGCGAUGAACUUUGGUCGGAAUCAUAAUCAUGAAGGCGAGAAACAAACGUGGUGAAGCAAAGCUGAAGCAAUUUCAAGGGAGAAUAGGCACAAAUCUUAGUGGUCAUAUAGGAAUCUUUUCUUGUAUAAUUUUGAUGCGAUGUAGAUGGUAUUGUUAUUAAAAAUCUGUAAUAUUUAAAAUGGUGUUGAAUAUGGAUAUGUAAUGUGUAUAUGGUAAUGAGUGCUUCUUGAACUUGUAAUGACCAAAGUUUGAAUUGAAUGGUGAAUGAAAUUGUAAUGGAACUUGAAUAUGAUGGUAUUUGAAAGA